UACGUAGGGGGCAAGCGUUGUCCGGAUUUAUUGGGCGUAAAGAGCGUGUAGGCGGCCAUGUAGGUCCGUUGUGAAAACUCGAGGCUCAACCUCGAGACGCCGAUGGAAACCAUGUGGCUAGAGUCCGGAAGAGGAGAGUGGAAUUCCUGGUGUAGCGGUGAAAUGCGCAGAUAUCGGGAAGAACACCCGUGGCGAAGGCGGUUCUCUGGGACGGUACUGACGCUGAGACGCGAAAGCGUGGGGAGCGAACAGG
rnacentral:rRNA from 1 species